rnacentral:rRNA from 1 species
GAUGAACGCUGGCGGCGUGCCUAAUACAUGCAAGUCGAGCGAACAGACGAGGAGCUUGCUCCUCUGACGUUAGCGGCGGACGGGUGAGUAACACGUGGAUAACCUACCUAUAAGACUGGGAUAACUUCGGGAAACCGGAGCUAAUACCGGAUAAUAUAUUGAACCGCAUGGUUCAAUAGUGAAAGACGGUUUUGCUGUCGCUUAUAGAUGGAUCCGCGCCGCAUUAGCUAGUUGGUAAGGUAACGGCUUAGCAAGGCAACGAGGGGUAGCCGACCUGAGAGGGGGGUCGGCCACACUGGCAGUGAGGCAGGGUCCAGACUCCGGCGGGAGGGCGCGGUGGGGAAUCUUCCGCGAUGGGCGAAAGCCUGACGGAGCAACGCCGCGUGAGUGCUGAAGGUCUUCGGAUCGUAAAACUCUGUUAUUAGGGAAGAACAAAUGUGUAAGUAACUAUGCACGUCUUGACGGUACCUAAUCAGAAAGCCACGGCUAACUCCGUG